rnacentral:lncRNA from 10 species
GGGAUGCCAUGCUCCAAACAGGGCCCAGGCACCUGUAUGGGCCCUGUAGGUCCCAUCCCUCUUCUGUGUGCACAGAUCCAUAGUUGAAUGGGGGCCUGGGGAGCACAGUUCACUAGGCUCCCUGACCUGGGCCCCCCUUGGGCCUUGGUCAUCUUGCACAAUGAUUAUUGUGUUUUAAGAUCAACAGAGACUUGUAUGUGUGUGCAUGGUGGUAGAGGAAGCAGGGGUCUGGUGUUUCCUAAAAGAAAACAGCUGGGCAUGUAAUAGGCGGGCCUGCACCCCACUUCCUUCACCCCUUCCUCACCCCUCCCAGAGACCUGUUGCUGCAGCUACCCCUCAGGAAUGCCUGUAGAUGGCUGUCGCACAGCUGGAAGGCUCGCCCCGAGAAGCGGCUUCAAGCAGCAACUGGCCUCCAGGAGACGGAACCCGAAGAAGUCAAGAUUUUUAAAUGUCUGAAAGGACUUUUGGAGGAAAAGGGGACCAGCAUCAGAUCUCUGCUCCUGCUGUCCUGGGAGCCUGGAGCUGCUGGGGCUGGUUCCCCAUCUGUCCUGCCCUCACUCUACCUCUCCUCCAAAGGCCCCUUCCCUACCUCAGCCUCUCCCUUCCCCUUCUCUGCCCAUGUACCCAGAGGCUGGAGGCCGGGUGCAGUGGCUCACGCCUGUAAUCCCAGAACUUUGGGAGGCCGAGGCAGGUGGAUCACCUGAGAUCAGGAGUUCAAGACCAGCCUGACCAAUAUGGUGAAACCCUGUCUCUACUAUAAAUACAAAAAUUAGCUGGGCGUGGUGGUGUGUGCCUGUAGUCCCAGCUACUUGAGAGGCUGAGACAGAAUUGCUUGGCCCCGGGAGGCGGAGGUUGCAGUGAGCUGAGAUCACACUACUGUACUCUAGCCGGGGCAACAGAGCAAGACUCCAUCAAACAGCAACAACAACAACAACAAAAGAAUCCAGAGGCUGGAAACAAGAGCUGAGUUUGCAUACAAAUUGAGCUUGAAGUGCCUGUUUGAAGGGAGACUUGGGAAAUCAUUGAGGGGUUCAUCCCUUCUGAUUUCCUACUGAGUCCAAGGACUCUGGAGCUCCUGAGCAUUUGAGAAGCUACGUAUUUUAGGGCUGGACUGUCUAGCUGUCAUAUUUAGGCUGCCAGUUUUCCAGAAGGAUUGGGUGGACAAGGGGACCUGUGUGAGGGAAUUUUGUCUCCCAGGAGUCAGGAGGAGUGGGUGAUAGGCUGAGCUCUCCUUCUGGGGGAGGCUCUUUUUUAGGAAUCGUAUUCCUCUAGGAAGGCCCCUCUGUAGCCCUGCUGGGCUUCUCCGAGAACCCCCAGGCUUGGGGGUUAUGUAUUCCCCAGCCUUCUCAGAGAGAAGGAUGCUCUCCCCCUGUCCUGGCACUACUGUCUCCAUCUCGGAGUCUGCCCCAGCCCCAGCCCUAGAAGAAGCCUGAAGGUGCGGUGCUUGCCUGUGUACACCCUGUUUGAAUUUGCUUCAAGCCUAAGGCGACUUCCUGUUUCCAUCAACAGGUCCCAGGAGAGAUCAAAGGCCAGGGCUGGUGAGUUCAGGGAAGAGGAAUUGAGGAUGGCCGGUCCCACCACUAUGUAAUGAGAAGGCUGAAAUUUAUGUGGAGACCUGGAGCAUGGGUAGGACUCUGGGGACACAGCCGAAUUUCCAGGGUGCUUGGCCUAGGCCUGCCGGUGCCUACCCCGUCUUAUCACUCCUCCAGGGAGCCCUGGGCAUCACUCCAUUCCGGAGUCCUGACCCCAACCACAGUCUGCUCCUCCUGUGUCCCCCGGCAGCGUCCUCGCUCCUUGCAGAGUUUGCCUGAUCCACCUCCUAGCACGGGGCUCCCUACGGAGCCUGGGCCACAGCUGGAGGGGCACCCUCUCUACGGCGGGCCCGCCCCCUGCCCCGCGCGCCAGGCGGGCGUGGCCCGCGGGGCGGGCGCCCGGCGAGGGGCUCCGGCGCGGCGGCCGUCACUCACGCACUCACGCGGGAGGAAUGCAGACGGCAGGGCUGCCCUGUGGUCACGUCCCCGCCCCACCGACGGAGGUAGGCGCCCAGGUACCCAGCCUGUGGGCCUUGGGAGCCCGCCAAGCUGCUGAUGAAAGGCGCUGCCAGAUUAACCCUUUCUUGGCCGCACCCCCUUGCUGCUGCCGGCUGCCGGGUGGUCGCAGAGCAGGAGGGUGAGGGGCAGGAGAGGAGUCUAGACACGCCUGGCUAACGAGGGGGCGGCUUUGGCCUCUGCGCGCUUGCCGGGUGGGUGCAGGUCCCCUGCCCCUGCCCUCCCCCUUUCUCUGGCCUUAGGACCCUAGGGCUGACAUGGUUGAGGGACAGGACUCCCAAUAACAUCAUAAACCUCACCACGGGGAUUCUCCACUGGGCACAACCUCCCAUGCUGAUGUGCUCCCUCCUUAAGAGUCACUGUAGCUAAAGAGCACUGGACAGAGAGUCCAGGAACUCAUGCAGUCAUCCAACACAAAUUUUAAAAGCUGAGAGGUGGCUGAUGUCUGUAAUCCCAGCACUUUGGGAAGCUGAGGUGGGAGCAUCGCUUGAGCCCAGGAGCUUGAGACCAGCCUGGGCAACAUAGGGAGAUCCCAUCUCUACCAAAUAAUAAGAAUAAUAUUAAUAUAAAAUAUUAGCCGGGCGUGGUGGCGCUGUGGUCCUAGCUACCUGGGAGGCUGAGGCGGCAGGAUUGCUUGAGCACAGGAGGUCGUGGCUUCAGUGAGCCGUGAUUGUGACACUGCACUCCAGCCUGGGCAACUGGGCAACGGGGAAAGCCAAGUGGGCUCUAUCUCAGUUUUUCCAGUCUGUAGAAUAACAGGGUCGAUAAUUCAAACUAUGGGGUUAUUUAUUUGUGUCUGUAUUCACAGCAACCUUCCUUUCUUCCCCAGGCGGAAUCUCAGGCAGAUGCCUGGUAUAGAAUUCAAACAAAGCGGAGAGUUUCUGGUUGGAGUUGGGAGUGAGGUCCCCCUUUCCCUCUGGCAUCUUCAUCUCAUCUCCUGAGAACCCCUAGGGAGGAUUUCAGGGAACACAGUUUGGAAAGCUUUGAGAGCUAGGUAUGGUGUGAGGUGCCUUUUGGCUCUGAUAUCUUUCUUUCCUUUUGUCUGCAUCUGCUGGGUGAUGCAGAUGUAUCUCUGUUCAGUGGGGGCUUUGCCAGCCUGGACAUUUGCUACAUCUUCUGGGCUCUGUGUGGGGCAUUCUGUGAUGCCCUGAGAUCUGGGCUCCCUCUUCCGGGGUCUGGGUGCUGUUAUCUGUGCUCCCCACUGAAAAUUGGCCCUGGACAAUUUUCAUUCUUUGCCCAUAUCCUGGGGCUUGGGCUCGCCCUCUGUACUUUCUUUGUUGCUGGAUCCAGUACACCGUAAGGUGAUGUUACUCUCAAGUUUCCCCUCAACCCCAUCUGUCUCCCAGACCCUCCUUUCUGGUCUGCUAAGAGUUCUAAGAAUCCAGGGGCCAAGGGAAUACUUUUUGUUUUAACACAGUUGCAGUGGUACAAGCGUGUCUGGUAGGCAAGGUGAGGAGGGCAAAGCUCUUGGGGCUAAACCUGCCUCAAGUUCAGGUGUCCUUCUCCCCCACCCCCGCUCCACCCUCUAACUAACAGCAAGGGAAUCUUCCAGAGAUCAAAGCAUGUCGGUAACCCUCACUGAAUUGGGCCAUGGCCUGGGAGUUCCCAGAUCUCUUCUCCAACUCAUCCAGCCUCCUUGGGAGCCUCCCCCGCCACCUAUAAGGGGCUGGGAGUGUCAAGAGGGGCAGGAAAUCAGAGGCUAAGUCAGGAGGCAGUGCCAAGAGGCGGCAGGAAGCCAGGCGGCCUCAUGCCCAGCCCUAACCACCCCCCACCUCACUCCUCAGUGGUCUCUAUGAGCCUCACUGCCCUGGGGGAAGGUAUACCACCCUGAAGCUGAGUUUCCAGGAGGGGCAAGAGAAUCUAGGCUUUAGCUACAGUAGAACUGCAGAGUAGAUCUCAGAAAGGACUUCUCAACCUGCAUAUCCAUCUCCCUUGAAUACUAGUUCCUUGGGUAUGCUUUACACAGCUUAAAGGUGUUACCACCUCCAAUAUAACAAGACUAGAAAUUUGCAAAUCACCCUUAGUGCUCCGCUCCCUUCACCAUCCAACUGGCCACUGAGUCCCAUCCUUUCUGCAGCAUUAGUGGUUUGAAGGUACCCUCUUUGCUUUCCAUUUCCAUUGCUCCUGAUUCAGUUGACACCUUUUCUAACCAGCCCCUGAGACUAUUGCAAUAGUGGCUGGUUCCCCUGACUCCCAGGAGCACACCCCCGUCCUCCCUUCCCUCCCCAGUCCCUCCUCCACACUGCACCAAGAGGGAUGUCAGAACACAGGUUGGAGCAUGCCACUCUUAUGCUCAAAAACCUUUGAUGGCUCCCCAUUGCCGGCAGGAUAAAGUUCCAACAUUGCCUGGCAUUUACAGCCUGCCCUGAUCUGGUGCCAACCUACCUUGCCAGCCUGGGUCCCUACUGUGUACUUUAUCUCCUCAACUCCAGCCACAUCCUAUGGCUCGUCUUAUCCCAGACCUGCUGUGCAUUUUCAUGGCCGACCACCUUGGCUCAUAGACAAGCUUGUUCCUAGCACUUACAGUGUUGUGGGGGAGGAGGAUUAAUCACAUAAUCCCGUAAAUAAAUAUAUCCUAAC